rnacentral:tRNA from 1 species
GAAAAGAUAAGCUAAGAAAGCUGAUGGGUUCAUAUCUCAUAAAUAGAUUAAUUCUUCUUUUUA